ACAUAGUCUCAACCUGGUCGCAACCGAGGCUUCUCAGCAUGUCCACGUCAUCAAGAAAAUACAGCCCGUCUGAUAGAAGAAUGGAUGGUUGGAUCAACCACACGUGCGACGUAGCUCUAGAGGAUUCCAGGGAAAUGAAUAGAUAUCCGGGUCCCGAGAGCACCAUGAAAAAAAAAGUUCAGAGUGAUAGCUUUUCCUCUGCGAUAGCUUUUCCUCUCGAGGACUCUAGCACUCUUCCUCCAAAUCCCUCCGCAUCUGAAGCUCCGCCUACAGCUCGAUCCAUUUCAUCAUAAGUGAUUUGAAGUAUUGCAGCUUGAUAGCUACUCUGUUGAUUCGUUUCCAUUUGAAAAAAAAGGCCACCGAUGAAAUGCGUGCAGCCAAACGCAAAGAGAUAGAGAUAGAUAGAGAGGGGGAUAGAGAGUCGGCCGGAGGAGAGGACGGCGUCGGAUAGGGGCAAUGGGGUCCUGGGGGCGGCGGUGGUCACGAGUGAACCGGCGGCGCUACCUCUCCCCCUCCUCCCCCCUCCGCCCACGCGCCUUGAUAACGUUGGCGCCGGCGCGAUACGGGUCGACUUUGACGGCAGCAGCGUUGCCUUCACCGACGAGAGAGAGAGGCCGAGCCGCAACAGCCUCAAGCCGCCAGGGAAAAAAAAGGCUCGCCCGUCGCCAAGUCCUCACCGCCGGCGCUCCCGAUGGCCGCACUCGCCGCACCGUCCCAGGCGUCAUCCGCCGUGAUUGCUCCCUCGAGCUCUUUGGCCCACCGAGCUCGAUCCCCACCCGCAACAUCGAACACUCUUCCUUCUGUGUUUUCUAUCCGAGCUGGAUCCAGGUAGCGGAGAGGGUGAGAGGCAGCUAAGCUGCUAGCUGCUGCUGUUUUCGCUGGUUUGAGAUAGAAAGAGCUCGAACAGGAGCUACAGCUACCGCUGUUGUCUCACGAUGUGGAAGAAGAAGGAGAGCUAGAGAGAGCAUGGAGAGACCAGGGAGAGGGAUAAGGUUGGGAGCUUGGUCCAAUAAUCUGGACUGAUUUGUGGGGAGGAGGGGAUUGAGCUCCAAGCCCAGCUGAGGUCGACGGCCGUGUGGAGAUGCUCUUCUUAAUCUCUGUACUAAUGGAUACUCUUUUAUCUUAUUUGAUGAGGCGGAUACAGUACAAAGAUUUUGUGCAAGAAAAGUUAGAAAAAACACGAAUUGGACCACGAAGAAAAUGAAACGAUGACUGUCAGCUGUCUUGACAGUGAUUGUGCAAGCUCUCGAUCUCUUGCUUUAAACAUCUUCAUUCAUAUCGGCGUUGCAGUGACUUCUGUCAUUACAUUUCAAUUUGCUUUCUACUUUUUCUGCUUUAUUGUCUCACUAGUGUGAAUGGUCAAACACAAAACGUACACCAGUAUUUACUGUAUACAUAUCUAAUUUUCUUCUUCUCUAAAAUUACAGGUGCUCUUGGUUAAAUAAAGUAACUGAGAUCUGCAUCUUCACUGCAACAACUUGUAGUUAUCAAGACUCACCUGCUCUCGGUGAAAUUGUUGGUUGGCAUCUCAGUAAAUCUGCACCACCAAUACAAUGAAUUAAUUCAUUAUCUUAAAAAAAAACUUGAUGGAUACGAAUAUCACAAACAAAUUGUUUUUUAUUUACCCCAUCUUAAUAAAGAUGUUCUGGAUUUCCUCACGAACCUGAAGUAAAUCAUGAAAUUGAAGUUUGCAAUCACUCGAUUGAUCAGAAAAGGCAAUAUGGUAAAUUCAAGGUCCUUUAGCUAUAGGUUGCUCUUGAACUCCAUAAUUAUAAUCUUUAAAUUCAAUGUCCUUCCAGCCACCAUACAGGACAGAAAAUUCGUCAGAAAUGAAAAAUAUCCACACGGAUAACUGUUCGAAUAGAGUGCUGAACUGACAUAUGUUGAACUAUUGAAUGGAAUCAUGCACUGGUUUUAGGUUUAGAGUGUUGAACUAUUGAUUGCAAAUUUAGCAAGGUUUAGAGUAUUUGGAACUAAGAUAGCAAAUAUACUUUUUGAAUAGACUGUUGAACUGACAUAUGUUUGAUAUAUGUCCAGGGUUUUAGGAAGGAGAAUUUUGAAAAAGGUUCUAGAGGCCCAAAAUCUUGUUUAGGCUGCUCUUUUUUUUUAUAUACAUAUGUAGCUAUGUGAACUCAUUUUCUCUACGGUUGAGGUUAAGCAGAUACACUUGAAUUUAGAAUAUAGUAGGAAUUUUUUUUGUGCAAAUUUGUUUGACCUAUGGUAUGGUUUGAUCGUUAUGCAUUUUUUAACUAAAGAUGUUGUUUAAUUUUCUGGAUGAUUUAUUCAGUUACACGUAUAAAUGUCGUCCAGGUGAUCUGUUCUCACAAAUGCAUUUUAGUUAUGUAAGUUAUAUAAUUGGAACAUAUUAGGUUCUAGCCAAUUGACCCUCUACCUUCAAUUGACUAACAUAUAAAAAUAAUGCAGCGAAGCUCAAAGUUUCUAGCUCAAUUGCAACUUGCAGAUGACAAAAUGGAUAUUGAACCAAUGAGAGAACAAACUGGAUCCAGUCUUGCAGGCUCUAAAAUAUCAUAUGAUUCAAUUAUGGAAGAUUCAGAGGUAAGUAUUAGGAUACAUUACUUAGCAACUUUUGGUUUUUUUCCGUGUUCUAAAAUUUCAGCAAAAUGACAACUAACAGGAUGACGAUGAUACACUUGUUACUUACGGCAAAAAGACCAAACAACAAUAAUCCCAAAGUAAUUUAAUAUGACACACAUUAUAUUUUUCCAACAUAUUUAACAAUAUAUUUUAUUCUAAUUUACAGCAUGCCUUGUAACAAGACCAUCCUUACUAAAUAGUAAUAGACUCAAGGUAAUUUUAAUUUUGAAACAAAUUUCAUUCCUGCUACGUAUGUAAUAGCAUGCUUUAUUCUAAUCUACACCAUGCUUUCUCACAUGAGCAAUGCUAUGUACAAAAACUUUAACCACCAGCCACCGUAAUUUUAUUGUAUGGAUAAAAAUCCUAUAUGCAGUACUACCCAGUAUGUUAUCUUUCCUUACAUAACUAAUAAUAUGCACAUUCCAGUUGCCACCAGUAGGUACUGAGAACCUAAAAUAUAUUGCUUAUUUAUUUUUACAAUUCCAGAUUUUAGAUGAAAUUUACAGUGCAAUCUAUUGCAAUUAUUCACAGGUAUCAUCAACUACAGACUGACUUUUGGGAGGACUUUGUCAUGACAUUUUAGAGAUCACUUUAGUAACAUCAGUGAUUCAGCAAGUGACUUUUCUGACUAAACUAAUAGUCCAUGUUCUUAAACAACAUUUCUUAUUUUGCUGUAAAUACCCAUUGUCACUUCCUUUUAUAAAAACUACUAUCUUUUGCUGUAAACUACCAUCAUAAUAUACAUGAAAAUUAUAUGUCUUAAUCUUACGUAUGUAUUUAGUUCUUACCCGGGUUCUAUCUUGAG